AAGGUGACCUCGGAUCAGGUAGGAAACCCCGCGAAAUU
rnacentral:rRNA from 1 species